rnacentral:rRNA from 1 species
CGAACGAGAAAUCCCGCCUUCGGGUGGGAGAGUAAAGUGGCGCACGGGUGAGUAACGCGUGGGUAACCUGCCCCUGAAUUCGGGAUAACUCCGCGAAAGCGGUGCUAAUACCGAAUGUCGUCACAGGGACCGUGGUCCCUGGGAUGAAAGGUGACCUCUCCAUGGAAGUUGCCGUUCGGGGAGGGGCUCGCGUACCAUUAGCUUGUUGGUGGGGUAAUGGCCUACCAAGGCUACGAUGGUUAGCUGGUCUGAGAGGAUGAUCAGCCACACUGGCACUGAAACACGGGCCAGACUCCUACGGGAGGCAGCAGUGAGGAAUUUUGCGCAAUGGGGGAAACCCUGACGCAGCAACGCCGCGUGAGUGAAGAAGGCUUUCGGGUCGUAAGGCUCUGUCAAGUGGGAAAAACGUCUUCCCGUUAACAGCGGGAAGGCCUGAUGGUACCACUGGAGGAAGCACCGGCUAACUCCGUGCCAGCAGCCGCGGUAAUACGGAGGGUGCAAGCGUNUGUCGGAAUUACUGGGCGUAAAGAGCGUGUAGGCGGCAAGGUAAGUCAGGCGUGAAAGCCCUGGGCUUAACCCGGGAAGUGCGUUUGAAACUGCCUCGCUCGAGUAUGGGAGAGGAGAGUGGAAUUCCCGGUGUAGAGGUGAAAAUCGUAGAUAUCGGGAGGAACACCCGUGGCGAAGGCGACUCUCUGGACCAAUACUGACGCUGAGACGCGAAGGCGUGGGGAGCGAACAGGAUUAGAUACCCUGGGUAGUCCACGCCGUAAACGAUGAGCACUAGGUGUAGCGGGUAUUGACCCCUGCUGUGCCGUAGCUAACGCAUUAAGUGCUCCGCCUGGGGAGUACGGCCGCAAGGCUAAAACUCAAAGGAAUUGACGGGGGCCCGCACAAGCGGUGGAGCAUGCGGUUUAAUUCGACGCAACGCGAAGAACCUUACCUGGGCUUGACAUCCCCUGACACCCCGGGAAACCGGGAUUGCCCUGCUUGCAGGGACAGGGUGACAGGUGCUGCAUGGCUGUCCUCAGCUCGUGUCGUGAGAUGUUGGGUUAAGUCCCGCAACGAGCGCAACCCCUUUCUUUAGUUGUCAGUAUUCAGUUAGGCACUCUAAAGAGACUGCCUCGGCUAACGGGGAGGAAGGUGGGGAUGACGUCAAGUCCUCAUGGCCUUUAUGCCCAGGGCUACACACGUGCUACAAUGGGUCGUACAAUGGGUUGCUAUACCGCGAGGUGGAGCCAAUCCCAAAAAGCGGCUCUCAGUUCGGAUCGGAGUCUGC